rnacentral:rRNA from 1 species
AACGAACGCUGGCGGCAGGCCUAACACAUGCAAGUCGAACGGAUCCUUCGGGAUUAGUGGCGGACGGGUGAGUAACACGUGGGAACGUGCCCUUUGGUUCGGAACAACUCAGGGAAACUUGAGCUAAUGCCGGAUGUGCCCUUCGGGGGAAAGAUUUAUCGCCAUUGGAGCGGCCCGCGUCUGAUUAGCUAGUUGGUGAGGUAAAGGCUCACCAAGGCUACGAUCAGUAGCUGGUCUGAGAGGAUGAUCAGCCACAUUGGGACUGAGACACGGCCCAAACUCCUACGGGAGGCAGCAGUGGGGAAUCUUGCGCAAUGGGCGAAAGCCUGACGCAGCCAUGCCGCGUGAAUGAUGAAGGUCUUAGGAUUGUAAAAUUCUUUCACCGGGGACGAUAAUGACGGUACCCGGAGAAGAAGCCCCGGCUAACUUCGUGCCAGCCGCCGCCGUAAAAC